CUAGUCUUUUCAAAGCACAGGACUGCGUCUCUCACCACCACAGCCAGGCAGCUGCUCUUCUAGCUUCUGAUUAUCAUCCCCAAGCCAUGCCUUGGUCAUUUCUGAGUUGAACAAAAUCAUGGAAGAUGUGACUGUCAAGUGGAGACAUCGAGCCUUUCUGCUGCCCUCAGCAUCUCCCAGCAGCCUCUCUGGUUCAAGACUUUCUUUGUCUCUAGAAGUUGCUCCAGGAUCCCAGACUGUAUUGCUAAGCCAUUGCCAACGAUUUGCACUUCUGUCGUCCCUUUCAUCUGGGAACCACAAGGCCAUCUGAAACUUCUCUGAUCAGCUUCAGAGGAGUCCCCUCUAUCAGUUAAGAAUUGUACUCUACACUGAGAAGCAGGUAUUGCAUUUGUUGGUCGCAAGGAUAAUCCCCCAAAUUCCCACAGCAUCCAGAUGAAGUUGUCUACUGUCCACAGGAUGUUCAGCAAAGACACCGGGAUGUAUUUGCCUGAAGAAGAACGGAAGAGAACUGAAAAGAGACAUCUAAGGGGAUGACGUUGUCAUCGGGCCAUUAAUACCUGAACUGCAUUUUAUUUCACAGAGGGCCUCAGGUACUCACAUAGCCCUACAGUGUGGAAUCAAUGUCUGAGAAACCAGGAAGAAAAUCUGACCCAAAGCUAGUGGAAAGGCAGAGAGAGAAGCUGAUACCUUCAGGAACAGCGAAUGCCACACUUGUUUCUGCUCCCCCUGGAUUUAUCAUGGAAGGUGAUCUAAUCCAUCCAUUCCCAGAAGAGAGUGUGUUGUAGCACUGGGUAUUUAUUCUCAGCAUGCCAAAGUUCUGUGCCCACAGAAAAGGUCCACCUCGCCUACUGUCAAGACUUUGGGUAGAUGUGUGGAUGCUCAGAUGCCUUGCUCCUUUCUCCUUUCUCAUGCAUGUUUCUGGCUUUGUGUAUUCCCUGGAUUUUGCCCAUGUCCUUCAUCACUGUGGGCUCCAAGAUACACUUUACUUGGUCUGUGAAAAACAGCUGACUCAACUGAAAACCUCCAUGGACUUCUUCACUAUUGAUUCAGGGUGGACUCUACUUGCAUUGGUGAAAUUCCAGCCUGGGUUACUUCUGUCCAGUCUUAAUACUGAAAUUCUAGAGAGUAGCCACCCAAUCUGGAAGCCACGACAAAACUCUUGAUGGACGUGGGGAACUAGGUCAAUAUGUCACAUCCACAUCAUCCUAGAUCAGAUUGCCUGGGGACACAAUGACCAAGCUUUCCCAUCCAUAGAAGACAUGCUUCAGGCUGUCCCUACAGGCCCCCUCCAGCUCUUUAAGAGAGAUCCUUAGGGAGGCCCUGGUCUUUGUCAGAGACUGGGGUUGGUGGAGGGUGGCUAAUCUGUAAGUCUCCAGAAAACUAUGUGUCUGUCCUAUACAAUCUCAGCAAGCUGUUGGCCCAAAGUCUUGUGUUUUGCACUAACCAUGUAUCUCUCACUUCAUAUUAAACAAUACCCUCAACUUUUCAUCCUGAAAUCUCUUCUUGGUACAUUUGUUCAUUUUUCAUUCAUCUUUUCCUUUCUAAAUUUUCAAUGAUGUCCCUGAAUCAGGUGCAGAGAGAUGGCUCAAUUAAAAUAGUAGGGAGUGAACAUUACACUGGAAAUAAAUGUGGUAUAUUUAAGAAUUUAUGACAGGUUUUGAGACAGAUGUUGAUUUUACUUCAAAAUAAAGUACAGUUAUUUUAUGCAACUUUCAUGAGUAA
rnacentral:lncRNA from 1 species